GGACAGCCAUCGCCGAGUCCCCGUACGGCGCGAGCCAGGGGAGCCGGGGACCCACCGUCCCUGGGGUGAAUCGGGCGCCCGCGCGGCAGCGAGGGGGGCUCGUAGGAGACCUUCCUGCUCCGAACCCGUCAGCUAACCCGGUAGGCGAGAGGGAAGGAAAGG
rnacentral:sRNA from 2 species